AAGGAACGUUAAAAACCAUUGU
rnacentral:miRNA from 1 species